rnacentral:rRNA from 1 species
AUUGAACGCUGGCGGCAGGCCUAACACAUGCAAGUCGAGCGAGCGGCGGACGGGUGAGUAAUGUAUGGGGACUGCCCGAUAGAGGGGGGUAAAUACUGGAAAACGUGGCUAAUAACCCGUACUGUCGGAUAAACCAAAUGGGAUUCGCUAGUAGGUAAGGUAAUGGCUUACAUAGGCGACGAUCCCUAGCAGGCCUGAGAGGGUGAUCAGCCACACUGGGACUGAGACACGGCCCAGACUCCUACGGAGGCAGCAGUGGGGAAUAUUGCACAAUGGGCGCAAGCCUGAUGCAGCCAUGCCGCGUGUAUGAAGAAGGCCCUAGGGUUGUAAAGUUCUUUCAGUCGGGAGGCGGUACCGAAUGAAGAAGCACCGGCUAACUCCGUGCCAGCAGCCGCGGUAAUUC